UACGAAGGGGGCUAGCGUUGCUCGGAAUCACUGGGCGUAAAGGGUGCGUAGGCGGGUCUUUAAGUCAGGGGUGAAAUCCCAGAGCUCAACUCUGGAACUGCCUUUGAUACUGGGUAUCUCGAGUAUGGAAGAGGUGAGUGGAAUUCCGAGUGUAGAGGUGAAAUUCGUAGAUAUUCGGAGGAACACCAGUGGCGAAGGCGGCUCACUGGUCCAUUACUGACGCUGAGGUGCGAAAGCGUGGGGAGCAAACAGG
rnacentral:rRNA from 1 species